AUGUGGCCAAAUGACCCUGUGACAAAAUGGGAGGUUUCCACCGAGAUUAAAGCAAUCCAUUUUCACGUUGUACACCAAACCAUUACAAUAACAGUCCGUUGUCAGAAAUUAUAGAGAGCCAUAAAGAAAACUGGUUAUCUGGUUAUAGCCUGUCAACACAAAUUUCCUCAAAUUCCUGUUAGCAGUUUUAAGGCAGUUAUAUACGAAAACUACGAAAACCGUUUGACGGAGAAUUAUUAAUGCCGGCUUGAACAUAUAUUUUAUGGAGGGUAAUAUUUCAAACAUGCUUCGUGUGACAAGGUACGCCAACCAGUCAUUCCCAAAAAAUGGGUACAAUUACAAAAUUUCAGUGUCGCCGGCAAAUAACACAAAAUGCCAAGCUUAACAUAUGUCACAGAUAAUCUUUUUCGUGUUCUAAGUGAUUAAUAUGUAUACUAAAAUAAAAUUAUAUUCUUUUGUGAUGUAUAUCGUAAAUAUAUUUGUGUGAUUUUCUAUUCAAUAUACGGAAAUCACACGAAUUCCGAAUGUCGCCAAGAAAAACUCCAAAUAUCGGUGUGAAUUAAAAUACUUUAUUUCAUCUAAAUCAUGAUUAGAUUUGCUUUUUUUAUUUGACCAUAUAUUGAUUUUUAUCCACAAAAAUAUUUUAGAAUCAAAAGUUAUAAUAUACACUUUGAUUUACCCAUUAAACCAAUGUCGCCGAUAAACGUAUAACCUACCGUAACGUAUCUUUAGGUACAGUCAAAACAUAUUUAUAUGAUUGGAAAUCAUGCCCAAUGUGACUUUAACUAAAGUUGAUACAUCAAAUUUUAAAAUCCUGCCUUUAACUUUUAUUGCAAUGAAACGAAAAAUAAAAAAAAUCUUCUCUUUCUCUUUUUUUCGAUUGUCGCAUAUAAGAAUCCAACCUACGUAACGCGUAUUUUGGAACGCACUAACCAAGAACAAAUCAAAUGAUGAUUAUUUCAUUGAAAGCACCCAUAAAGCUUCUCAAUAAUCAGUUUUGAGAAAGCAACUCAACAAUAUUGUUACAUAUUUCCAUGUAUAAUGUAAAUAAAACUAACCUCCGUUUAAAUAACCUCCGUGACGCAGUUAUUUACAGUUAAGUUGUCAGACUUUUUUAUCAGUAUCAGCGGCUGCCGACACUGCCGAAAGUCAUUUUUGUAGCAGACAUAUCAUUUAUUAUAAAGAAAACAGACAAACAAAAUACAGAUUUUGAGAAAAAAAAUGUUGUUUUGAGAAAGGUAGGUUAACUUGUUUUUUCCCUAUUAUGUGAGCAACAUUAUAACGUUUAAUAAACGUUAUAUCAGCCAUUUUUCUUAGAUUUAAAAUAGUCUACAACACAACUUGUGUAAUUACGACGACAAUCAUAACUUUAACAGCGGUUUAUGGCAAAACAUUUUCAAGAUUAUUUAGGACUCAUCAAUGUAACGGAGGUUAUGCAAAUAAAAAAAAUCUAAAGAUGCAUGUAAACACGAUCAUACCAAUUGAAAUUCUUGUACAUUGUUAUAGAUACCAAAUCAGUUCAUCAAUUAUCACUAAUAAAAAUCAAAAGGUGAUGUCAAUCAUAGACGACAUCAUUGAUUUACGUUACGGAGGAUAGAAAUUUAAGGAAAAAAAGUUUUUUUUUCUCUAACAGGACUUUACUCUUUUUAGAUAACGAUUUACUAAGAAAAAUGUUUAAUUCUGUUGUCUUGUUUGUCAUUUAAUUCCAAUAUUUACAUUCAUUUAUAUGUUUGCUGUUGGUAAGAACUGGAAUUGUCCGUUAUGGAGGUUUUAAAUGUCGUUACGGAGGAUAGAAAUUUUCGAAAUGAAACUAUUUUGACUCCAAAACUUCAUAGUUGAGUAUAAUACAUACAUUAUGGUGUGAAGGAAGAUGACAUUAUCUGUAUAGAGCUAAUAAAAUUAAGUUGAACAGUAUUCGGUUUAGGUAAAACAUAUUUUUGAGUGAAAGUUCAUGAAUCGUUACGGAGAUUUUGACAAGAACAAGUCCAUUUGACUAAAAGAAACAUAUAACUUGAUAGAAAACAGUUUUUUAGUUUGUAAUGUCAAUAAAUUGUUUAGAAAAGCUAGCAUUAAAGAGUUAAGUGUUACUAUGUAUCAGCAUUCAGAUACUGGUUUGAUAUCAACCUCCGUAACAAAGAUGGGGGUGUGGAUUAAUACAAGCAUAAAAAAUACAUACAAGUGAUUCAAAACAUAAAUAAUAGGGUUUUUCCUGGAAAGCUGUAUUAUGAAACUAAAAUAUUAUACAGCAUAACAUUUCAUUAGUUUAAAUUUAUUACUAAAUAAGUUGUGAAAACUACUUAUUUGAAUUAUUUUUUAAACACUAUAUUAAUUCAGACCUUAAAAUUGGUAUUUGCUUUCAAUAUAUACAGAAUAAUACGUAUAAAUCAGUUUGCUAUGGUGGUAAAUGUAACCCAUUUCACAUGAGCCUGGAUUUAAAUCUUGUGUUUUUCUCUAAUGCAAUUUUUAAGAUGACUUUAUACAACACUAACCUCCGAUACGUUCAUACUUACCUUGUCUUACAAAAAAUGCUAAAACUAGAAAACAACUAAAAUGGUGUAAGUAAAAAUUAAAAAAAUGACAGACUAGAUAUAGACACAGAAGAAAACAACACUCUCUCUCUGCUCAGUUGAAAUUUAUUUUUUAACAGUGUCUACAUUCGAAUUGUACCAUUUUUUGGAAACUGAACGUUAAUUCUAAGUUUUACUCAAACCUUUUAGAGACAAGAUUUUUUGGCAAUUUUUGAUCGUUCAAUUAGUUUGAGUAUUAAUUAAAAUUCUUAUGAAAAAGGAAAAAGUAUAAUCCCAGCUCUAAUGUGCUGAUAAGUGUGAAAUACCCGUAUUUUUACGGGUAGACAGUAUAUAUAGUACAGACAAUUUGUGGCGGGAUUACAUGCAUUAAAUUAUCGUGCAGAAAGUAUAGUGAAAGUCUAUUGUCUAGUCUGUCAAUGAAUGAUGAAUGAAUGAAUGAAUGAAUGAAUGAAUGAAUGCGUAAAUGAUAGUAAAUCAUAGUAAAUCGAAAUCAGUAUAGUAUUUCUCUUUCUUUAUUCAGCUGAUAAUUUGUUACGGUGACACAUUCUCGGACCACUGUCAGGGUAUCAAAACAGAUCCAGAAAAGACCUCUGUCGUGAAAAACUGGCCCACUAUUAGGAAUGUGAAGGAUCUGAGAAAGUUUCUCGGAUUUACUUCAUAUUAUAGACGUUUCAUUCAGGAUUAUGCAAAGAUCGUUAAACCUUUAAACGAUCUAUUGAUUGGUCAUUCGACACAGAAGAAGAAGGUAAGUACGGUAAGACGGAAAAAGGCACCAACCAGGUGGUUCUGGAACGAGGCUCAACAGGAAGCUAUGGAUAAGGUAAUUGAUAAGUUAACCUCACCUCCUAUAUUAGCUUACGCUGAUUAUAAACUUCCGUUUACUGUGCAUAUUGACGCCAGUAACGAUGGUUUAGGAGCGGUUCUUUAUCAGACACAGGAGGGCAUUGACAGAGUAAUUGCCUAUGCCAGCCGUAGCCUACGUGGAGCAGAGAGACUUUACCCGACCCAUAAAAGAGAAUUUCUAGCUCUUAAAUGGGCGGUGACCGAUAAGUUCCACGAGUAUCUGUAUGGCAGUAAAUUUGAAGUCAAAACGGAUAAUAAUCCAUUGACAUACGUUUUUGAUCGAGCUAAGUUAGACGCCGUCGGACAUAGAUGGGUCGCUUCUCUUUCAAAUUACGAUUUCAAAUUAACAUACAGAACGGGUAAGUCUAAUGUAGACGCUGACGCCUUGUCUAGAAUACAACCAGAGACUAAGCAGAUGUUUAGUGAUGCGAUUAAAGCGGUAUGUACUUCUAGUAUUGUUUCUCCUGGUCCAUUUAUUGAGACCGUUUUAUUGACUGAGAGUGUUGCCACUGAAGAUUUACAUGAGGUAAGUAUUAGUAAGAUUGACUGGCAUGAGGAGCAGAACGCAGACCCGUCUAUUCGGAGAAUUAUUGCUUUAGUUCAGGGUAACAAUAAACCAACCAAAAGGAAGAUAUCAUUAGAGACAGAGGAAGUUCGUAGGUAUUUACGUGAUUGGGAUAAGUUUACAUUAAAGGAUGGGAUAUUGUACAGAAACAGUAGUCUGUAUAAUGAAAAGGUAACACAGUUAGUUUUGCCAUCAGUACUCAGAGAUAUUGUACUACAGGGUUUACACGAUGAUGUAGGACAUCAGGGUAGAGACAGGACAUUAUUCCUUGUGAAAUCUAGGUUCUUUUGGCCAGGAGUGGACAGGGAUGUAGAAACUAAGGUAAUGUCUUGUGAGAAUUGUAUUCUGAGGAAGUCAAAGACGUGUAAAAAGUCGGCCGAAAUGGUAAGUAUACAUACAUCGUAUCCUCUUGAGCUAGUUUGCAUUGACUUUCUCACUUUAGAACAGUCAAAAGGUGGGUAUGAGAAUAUAUUGGUCAUUACGGACCAUUUCACUCGCUACGCUCAAGCAAUACCUACACGUAACCAGACGGCUAAGACUACAGCUAAGUGUUUAUGGGAGAACUUUAUUCAGCAUUACUCAUUUCCGACUAGAUUACACAGUGAUCAAGGACGAAAUUUUGAGUCGAGGAUUAUAAGCGAAUUAUGUAAGUUAGCUGAUAUUAAGAAGUCGAGGACGACCCCUUACCACCCCCAGGGAAAUGGACAGUGUGAGCGGUUUAACCAGACACUGUUAAACAUGUUAGGUACGUUAGACGAAGAUAAGAAAUCAGAUUGGAAAACCUAUGUAGCGCCUCUUGUCCACUCUUAUAAUGCUUCGAGACAUGAAAGUACAGGAUAUAGUCCUCACUUUUUGAUGUUCGGUUGGCAUCCAAGACUGGCUAUAGAUGCGUUUUUAGGUAUUUCAUCUGGUUUACCUGUUAAAGAUCACAAGACAUAUGUAAGUAAUCUAGAAAAGAGACUACAGUUCGCAUAUAAAACAGCAGCCAAGGUAGCGGAUAAGGCAGGUAAACGCCAUAAGACCAGGUAUGAUUUGAAAGUAAGACAUUCUAAUCUACAGAAAGGGGACAGAGUUUUUGCUCAAGAAAGUAGGAUUUAAAGGUAAGCACAAACUACAGAACAAAUGGAAUAGAGAUCCAUAUAUUGUCGAGUCUCAGCCAGAUACUAGUAUACCUGUAUACGUACUUAAACCUGAACAUGGUCGUUCAAGGAAGGUAACUGUACAUAGAAAUAUGCUACUACCCAUUUUUUCACUACCUACAGAUGAGAUAGUACGACAACAAAUUCCGUCUAGUUGUAAAAAGGGUAAAACCUUUACUAGACCACAGAAUUUGCAAAAAGACGAUACUGUUGAUAGUGAUAAAAAUGAGCUAAUGCUCACAGAGGUACGUAGUAACUCUAGCGAUGAGGAUGAUGAUGAUAUAUGUAUAGUUGCUACUCGGUCUCCUAGGGUAAUAGAUCCUGACCGAAGUUCACAGUUGGUACUUAAUCCUCAGGCCCCAGAGUUUUUACCGUCAUCGUCUAGUAGUUCUUUACCAGUUUCAGAUUUAAGUAGUUCUCGUUCAGAUUUUAGUGGAGAUUUGCUAAGUGAUACGUCAGGUCAGUCUAGUGUACAUUCUGGUGUUAAUGAUAGCUCUACAUUAAGUGGUAUGUCUGCUAGUGGUCAUACGGAAAAUAACUCCGUUGCCUUUGAGGCUACAGACACACAACCUGUCUUACGUCGGACGACUAGACAGUGUAGAGCCCCACAGCGUUACCAGGAUUUUAUUUUGUAUCGUUGA
rnacentral:sRNA from 1 species